rnacentral:tRNA from 1 species
ACAUUGGUAGUUCAGUGGUAGAAUUCUCCUCUUCCAUGGAGGAGGCCCAGGUUCAAUUCCCAGCCAGUGCA